rnacentral:rRNA from 1 species
GACCUCAAAUCAGGUAGGACUACCCGCUGAACUUAAGCAUAUCAAUAAGCGGAGGAAAAGAAACUAACAAGGAUUCCCCUAGUAACUGCGAGUGAAGCGGGAAAAGCUCAAAUUUAAAAUCUGGCAGUCUUUUGGCUGUCCGAGUUGUAAUCUAGAGAAGUGUUAUCCGCGCUGGACCAUGUACAAGUCUCCUGGAAUGGAGCAUCAUAGAGGGUGAGAAUCCCGUCUUUGACAUGGACUUCCAGGGCUUUGUGAUGCGCUCUCAAAGAGUCGAGUUGUUUGGGAAUGCAGCUCAAAAUGGGUGGUAAAUUCCAUCUAAAGCUAAAUAUCGGCGAGAGCCCGAUAGCGACCAAGUCCCGUGAGGGAAAGAUGAAAAGAACUUUGGAAAGAGAGUUAACCAGUCCGUGAAAUUGCUGAAAGGGAACCGCUUGAAGUCAGUCGCGUCAUCCAGGGAUCACCCUUGCUUUUGCUUGGGCCCCUCCCUGGUUCGAUGGGUCAGCAUCAAUUUUGACUAUUGGAAAAAGGUUAAGGGAAUGUGCCAUCUUUGGAUGUGUUUAUAGCCCUUGGUCACAUACAAUGGUUGGGAUUGAGGAACUCAGCACGCCGCAAGGCCGGGUUUAAACCACGUACGUGCUAGAUG